ACUCAAAUGAAUUGACGGGGGCCCGCACAAGCGGUGGAGCAUGUGGUUUAAUUCGACGCAACGCGAAGAACCUUACCCAGACUUGACAUCGAUGGAAUCCUUCAGAAAUGAGGGAGUGCCCUUCGGGGCCCAGAAGACAGGUGCUGCAUGGCUGUCGUCAGCUCGUGUCGUGAGAUGUUGGGUUAAGUCCCGCAACGAGCGCAACCCUUGCCGUUAGUUGCUACCAGGUUAAGCUGAGCACUCUAACGGGACUGCCGGUGUCAAACCGGAGGAAGGUGGGGAUGACGUCAAGUCCUCAUGGCCUUUAUGUCUGGGGCUACACACGUGCUACAAUGGCUGCCACAGAACGUCGCGAACUCGUGAGAGAGAGCAAAUCGUCAAAAGGCAGUCUCAGUUCGGAUUGAAGUCUGCAACUCGACUUCAUGAAGUCGGAAUCGCUAGUAAUCGUGGAUCAGCAUGCCACGGUGAAUACGUUCCCGGGCCUUGUACACACCGCCCGU
rnacentral:rRNA from 1 species